rnacentral:rRNA from 1 species
GAAAAGAACCCCGGGAGGGGAGUGAAAGAGAACCUGAAACCAUAUGCCUACAAGAAGUCAGAGCCCGUUAAAGGGUGAUGGCGUGCCUUUUGUAGAAUGAACCGGCGAGUUACUGUAUGGAGCGAGGUUAAGCAGGAUAUGCGGAGCCGAAGCGAAAGCGAGUCUUAAGAGGGCGCGAGUUGCAUGCAGUAGACCCGAAACCGGGUGAUCUAGCCAUGACCAGGUUGAAGUUGGGGUAAAACCCGAUGGAGGACCGAACCGACCCCCGUUGAAACGUUGGCGGAUGAGUUGUGGCUAGGGGUGAAAUUCCAAUCGAACCCGGAGAUAGCUGGUUCUCCCCGAAAUAGCUUUAGGGCUAGCGUCGAGAGAAGAGUUGCGUGAAGGUAGAGCACUGAAUAUGUGAUGGCCCCAUCUCGGGGUACUGAGCAUAAUCAAACUGCGAAUGUCACGAGAACAUGCUCGGCAGUCAGACAGCGGGUGAUAAGGUCCGUUGUCAAGAGGGAAACAGCCCAGACCAUCAGCUAAGGUCCCAAAAUGUAUGCUAAGUGGAAAAGGAUGUGGAGAUGUACAGACAACUAGGAGGUUGGCUCAGAAGCAGCCAUCCUUUAAAGAGUGCGUAACAGCUCACUAGUCGAAUGACUCUGCGCCGAUAAUUUACCGGGGCUAAGCAUACUACCGAAGCUAUGGAUCCCAAGGGAUGGUAGGGGAGCGUUCCAUGAACGGAGAAGUACGACCGAAAGGACGUGUGGAGAUCAUGGAAGAGAGAAUGCCGGUGUGAGUAGCGGAACGUGGGUGAGAAUCCCACGCACCGAAAACCCAAGGUUUCCAGAGGAAGGUUCGUCCGCUCUGGGUAAGUCGGGACCUAAGGCGAGGCCGAAAGGCGUAGUCGAUGGACAACAGGUAGAGAUUCCUGUACCCGUAUAUAUGUGAAGGAAUGACGGAGAGAGGAAGCUGCAGCCAGCGGCUGGAAGAGCUGGUGCAAGCGAGAUAUCGGGAUGGCAGGCAAAUCCACCAUCCGAAACGAGAAGGCGUGAAGCGUACGGAAAGCUACGGCGAGUACGGAAGGCAGUGGAGGAACUUCCAAGAAAAGUUUCUAACGUUAAGUAUAUAUGGCCCGUACCGAAAAUGGACACACAUGGGUGAGGAGAGAAUCCUAAGGUGAGCGAGAGAACUAUAGCUAAGGAACUCUGCAAAAUGACUCCGUAACUUAGGGAGAAGGAGUGCUCAUAGAGAUAUGAGCCGCAGUGAAACGGCCCAAGCGACUGUUUACCAAAAACACAGCUCUCUGCUAAGCCGCAAGGCGAAGUAUAGGGGGUGACGCCUGCCCGGUGCUGGAAGGUUAAGGGGAGGGGUUAACGCAAGUGAAGCCCUGAACUGAAGCCCCAGUAAACGGCGGCCGUAACUAUAACGGUCCUAAGGUAGCGAAAUUCCUUGUCAGGUAAGUUCUGACCCGCACGAAAGGCGUAACGAUUUGGGCGCUGUCUCAGCUGUAGACUCGGUGAAGUCUUAGUACCUGUGAAGAUGCAGGUUACCCGCGACUAGACGGAAAGACCCCAUGGAGCUUCACUGCAGGUUGAUAUUGGGAUUUGAUGCAGCAUGUACAGGAUAGGUAGGAGGCAAAGAGAUGGAUACGCCAGUAUUCAAGGAGCCGCUGUUGGGAUACUACCCCUGUUGUAUUGGAUUUCUAACCGGACGACGUAGAGCCGUUGACGGGACAGUGUCAGUCGGGCAGUUUGACUGGGGCGGUCGCCUCCCAAAGAGUAACGGAGGCGCCCAAAGAUACCCUCAGCUUGGAUGGAAACCAAGCGCAGAGUGCAAAGGCAAAAGGGUGUUUGACUGCGAGACCCACAAGUCGAGCAGGGACGAAAGUCGGGCUUAGUGAUCCGGCGGUGCUG